GCAUUAAUGGGGUAGUGGUAACCUCGGUCGUUGCCAAGCUUUGAUUCGACCGGCCGCGAGUUCGAUUCUCGCUUAAUGCA